GUGCUUGCUUUGGCAGCACAUACGCUAAAAUUGGAAGGAUACACAGAAGAUUAGCAUGGCCCCUGCGCAAGAACGACACGCAAAUUCAUGAAGCGUUCCAUAUUUUU
ensembl:snRNA U6 U6 spliceosomal RNA